rnacentral:rRNA from 1 species
AGGCCACUGCUAUUGGGAUCCGACUAAGCCAUGCGAGUCGAGAGGGUUCGGCCCUCGGCAGACUGCUCAGUAACACGUGGAUAACCUACCCUUAGGUGGAGGAUAAUCUCGGGAAACUGAGAAUAAUACUCCAUAGAUCUAGGAUGCUGGAAUGCACCUAGAUUGAAAGCUCUGGCGCCUAAGGAUGGGUCUGCGGACUAUCAGGUUGUAGUCAGGGUAAAGACCUGACUAGCCUACGACGGAUAUGGGUUGUGAGAGCAAUAGCCCAGAGACGAUAUCUGAGACACGAUAUCGGGCCCUACGGGGCGCAGCAGGCGCGAAAUCUUCACAAUGUGCGAAAGCACGAUGAGGGGAUCCCAAGUGCUGGCACGUAAGUGUCAGCUGUUUCUUUGUCUAAAAAACAAAGAGAGUAAGAGCUGGGUAAGACGGGUGCCAGCCGCCGCGGUAAUACCUGCAGCUCAAGUGGUGGCCGCUAUUAUUGGGCCUAAAACGUCCGUAGCCGGUUUAGUAAAUGCUUGGGUAAAUUGUGUAGCUUAACUAUACGAAUACCGGGUAGACUGCUAAACUUGGGACCGGGAGAGGCUAGAGGUACUCCUAGGGUAGAGGUGAAAUUCUGUAAUCCUAGGGGGACCACCAGUGGCGAAGGCGUCUAGCUAGAACGGGUCUGACGGUGAGGGACGAAGCCCUGGGGCGCAAACCGGAUUAGAUACCCGGGUAGUCCAGGGUGUAAACGCUGCUUGCUUGAUGUUAGUUGGGCUCCGAGCCCAACUAGUGUCGGAGAGAAGUUGUUAAGCAAGCUGCCUGGGAAGUACGGUCGCAAGACUGAAACUUAAAGGAAUUGGCGGGGGAGCACAGCAACGGGUGGAGCGUGCGGUUUAAUUGGAUUCAACGCCGGAAAUCUCACCGGAGGCGACGGUUAUAUGAAGGCCAGGCUGAUGACCUUGCCUGAUUUUCCGAGAAGUGGUGCAUGGCCGUCGUCAGUUCGUACCGUGA